AGGAGGAACAGCCCCAGUGGUGGGGCCAGCCCUGGAGCCCUGGAUUCAGCCCCCGCAGGAACUCCGGAGCUCUCCGUCUGCAGGGCCUGGAGGCUCCGGGGCAGG
rnacentral:pre_miRNA from 1 species